GAUUGUCAUCAGUUGCGAUGGGACGAUACACCUGUUCCCAUGUCGAACACAGAAGUUAUAGUCCAUCACCGGCGGGAGGUAACUUGGGGUUGCCCCCUGGGAGAUAUUCGAGUGGCCAAGG
rnacentral:rRNA from 1 species